GGAGGAUAGCUCAGUUGGUAGGGUGCUUGCCUAGAACGCAGAUGCCCUGGGUUCAAUUCCCAGCACCA
rfam:Neotoma lepida isolate 417 scaffold_1788, whole genome shotgun sequence.